rnacentral:rRNA from 1 species
GACAAACGCUGGCGGCGUGCCUAAUACAUGCAAGUCGAACGACGGAAGCCUUCGGGCAAGUAAGAGUGGCGCACGGGCGAGGAACACGUAGAUAAUCUGCCCUUCAGUGGGGAAUAACUCUCCGAAAGGAGUGCUAAUACCGCAUAAGACCACAAGCUCUGCGGAGCAAGGGGUUAAAGGAUUUAUUCGCUGAAGGAUGAGUCUGCGUCCGAUUAGCUAGUUGGUGAGGUAAUGGCUUACCAAGGCAAUGAUCGGUAGAUGGUCUGAGAGGAUGAUCAUCCGCACUGGAACUGUGACACGGUCCAGAAUCCUACGGGAGGCAGCAGUAGGGAAUAUUGCACAAUGGGGGAAACCCUGAUGCAGCAACGCCGCGUGAGUGAUGAAGGCUCUAGGGUCGUAAAGCUCUGUCGUAUGGGAAGAAAAAAAUGACGGUACCAUACAAGAAAGGACCGGCCAACUUCGUGCCAGCAGCCGCCGUAA